CAGAGACAGAGUGGAGACAGAGUCAGAGUGGAGACAGAGUCAGAGUGGAGUCAGAGUCGGAGUGGAGUCGGAGUCAGAGUGGAAUCAGAGUCAGAGUCAGAGUGGAGACAGAGUCAGAGUGGAAUCAGAGUCAGAGUGGAGACAGAGUGGAGUCAGAGUCGGAGUGGAGUCAGAGGAAAAGUGGAGUUGGAGUCAGAGUGGAAUCAGAGUCAGAGUGGAGUUGGAGUCAGAGUGGAAUCAGAGUCAGAGUGGAGUUGGAGUCAGAACAGAGUCAGAGUGGAGACAGAGUGGAGUUGGAGUCAGAGUGGAGUCAGAGUCGGAGUGGAGUUGGAGUCAGAGUGGAAUCAGAGUCAGAGUCAGAAUGGAGUCAGAGUCAGAGUGGAGACAGGGUGGAAGUGGAGUCAGAGUCAGAGUGGAGACAGAGUGGAGUCAGAGUCGGAACGGAGUCAGAGUCAGAGUGGAGACAGAGUGGAGUCAGAGUCAGAGUGGAGUCAGAGUAUUAGUGGAGUUGGAGUCAGAGUGGAAUCAGAGUCGGAGACGGAGUCGGAGUGGAGUUCGAGUCAGAGUGGAAUCAGAGUCAGAGUCAGAGUGGAGUUGGAAUCAAGAGUGGAGUCAGAGUCAGAGUGGAGACAGAGUCAGAGUGAAGACAGAGUCAGAGUGGAGUCAGAGUCAGAGUGAAAUCAGAGUCAGAGUUGGAGUGGAGUUGGAGACAGAGUGGAGUCAGAGUCAGAGUGGAGUCAGAGUGGAGUCAGAAUCAGAGUGUAGUCAGAGUCGAGUCAGGGUGGAGUCAGAGUCAGAGCGGAGUCAGAGUCAGAGUCGGCUCAGAGUCGGAGUGGAGUCGGAGUCAGAGUGGAGUCAGAGUCGGAAUGGAGUUGGAGUCAGAGUGGAGUCAGUGUGGAAGUCGGAGUGGAGUCAGAGUCAGAGUGGAGACAGAGACAGAGUCAGAGUGGAGUCAGAGUCGGAGUGGAGUUGCAGUCAGAGUGGAAUCAGAGUCAGAGUCAGAAUGGAGUUGGAGUCAGAGUGGAAUCAGAGUCAGAGUCGGAGUGGAGUUGGAGUCAGAGUGGAGUCAGAAUCAAAGUGGAGUCAGAGUGGAGUCAGAAUCAGAGUGGAGUCAGAGUGGAGACAGAGUCGAGUGGGAGUCGGAGCGGAGUCAGAGUCGGGGCGGAGUCAGAGUCAGAGUGGAAUCAGAGUCAGAGUCGGAGUGGAGUUGGAGUCAGAGUGGAGUCAGAGUGGAAUCAGAGUUGGAAUCAGAGUCAGAGUCAGAGUGGAGUCAGACUCAGAGUGGAGUUGGAGUCAGAGUGGAAUCAGAGUCAGAGUCAGAUCAGAGUCAAAGUGGAGACAGAGUCGGAGUGGAGCCAGAGUGGAGUCAGAGUCAGAAUGAAGACAGAGACAGAGUCAGAGCGGAGUCAGAGUCGGAGUGGAGUUGGAGUGGAGUCAGAGUGGAGUCAGAGUCAGAGUGGAGUCGGAAUGGAGUUGGAGUCAGAGUGGAGUCAGAGUCGGAGUGGAGUCGGAGUCAGAGUGGUGUAAUUAGUAAUUUAUAUUUUGGGAAACAGACCCAAGUAAAUUAGUGAGAAAUAAUGGUCAUGAGAAACAAACAUAAAUAAUAACUGCUGCAACUGAUAAAAAAUCCAGUCCUGUGUGUCUCCAGCUCGAUGUGUUGAUUUUACAUUCUAUACACUAAUAAUAAACACUUUGUCCAGUUACAUAUGCAUGUGUUUUUGUGUAUGUGUAUGUGUAUGUGUGUGAGUCAGUGUUUAAAGACCAUUCUGAAUUAAACAGAAGAGACCGAGUGUGUUCUAGCGGUUUCUCUAGUGAGAAACUGUAUAUUUGUGAUAAGUGGAACAUCCAAGACAACAGCAGCGCGUCGAUAAAAACUUCACAGAGGAGACAGAGCUGAAGACAAACGUCCUCAGAGAGACAGUGUGUGUGUGUGUGUGUGUGUUGGAGAUCAAAGGUGUGGUGCAUCAUCCAGUUCAUAACGACUCAUCACACACUCGUCAGUGGCGUUAAAGUCAAUAACGAUAAUAAAUCUCAUUUUACACUUUACUCUGUGCUGUUUUCACAACCCACCAUGCUUUGCUUUCCUGAGCAGUAAAGAAGUGGCUGGAGUCAAGCGCCCCCUGGAGGUGUGUCUAUAACAUGACUGACAGCACGGACCUGUUUUUUUUUCUUUUUCUUUGACCUUUUUUUCUUCUUUCACUUGCUUUGGAUUCUACGUUUUUAACAGAUGUUUCUUUGUCAUCACCGAUAUUUAUUUAUUUGUAGUGGUAAGAACAAUUAAAAAAAAAAAAAUCCUCACUGCACCUUUCAGGUCGGACCAUUAUUCCAAACUAGAGACUUUUCUUUCAUUACUACUGAAUCUACUCGUUCUGGAAGCCAUAAUAAGAAACACGGGCCUGUAAUUCUUUUCUGUACACGCUGCACAGCUAACUCCUGAAACAAGAACACAUUGUUAUGCUAAUGACAGCGUUAGCUGCAGUGAGCUUAACACUAACACACACACAGAGUGUUUGAUCCCGUGUAACGAGCUGAAAUUUGUGUGUGUACCUGUGUAUCCAGCAUCAUCAUCAUCACCACCAUCCACAGCUCAUAUCUCCUUCUUCCUCCUCCUCCUCCUCUUGGUCAGUUCUCACGGUCUCGUAGGGUUUCAAUCCAACCCGUCCUCCAGCAGCACUCGGGAAAGCACGCACGCUCUCUGGAACGCACUCCGGAGUGUAACUAGGGGUCAUCAGAGGUCAUCCACUACAAACACAUCCAGCACAGUGAAUGUCCGAGGGGGAGAAAGUGCAAAAAUCCAGCACUGUUUAUUUCACCACCACCACCACCACCCCACCCCCCCUUUAACCCUGAGGAUGAUUAAACGAGACGAGGAUGAGGAAAACUGAGGAAGCACCGAGCUCCAGCUGCACUGGAUUCUGGAAAAGUGCUAAGUGGUUAAGGUUCUGUGCUAUUAAUCAGAAGGUUGUGUGUUCAAAACCCACCGCCAGAGAGCUCUUGCUGAGGAAGAACCCUCAUUCCUCAGGUGAUCAGUUGUGUGCUUUUUGUAAACGUCAGGAAGUCUCCACUGGUGCUGCACUGCUUAUUAAAGAAACCCUGAACGUCUCCAUUUAAUUCCAGCCAGCUCUGAGUUACCCUUUAAAGGAUGCACACGCUCCCACAGCAGCCCAUUCUCCUCAGCAGUGAUCUCAAUUACGGACCUGCUCUAAAAAAAAUUAUAAUAAUUAAAAACCCCAACAGAAACCUUUAAGGUGUCUCUUUUAAUUCCAGAAACGUUGGAUUCUCCCUUUAAAGGACUUGUACAGUUUUCUCGGUAACGCUGCGUCCGGUUUCAGACGAAAUGCAGAUCAGCGCUCAGGUGUGAUCUUGAUUAUAGACCUCACAUCCCUUUACACUUCCAAAAGUGGAAAAGUCAAAAAGUCAAUACAAAUACAUCCCUUUAACUCCAACCACGUCAGACUGGAAUGAAAAAUGAAUUUCUAAAAAAAGAAGAACGUGUAUUCUGAUAUCUGUCCUAGCUGAGAGUCAGACAUUCAGUGUCAAGAUACAAACUGUGGAUCUUCAAAUCCAAAAAUAUGUAGAUUAAUGACGUUCCUUUAAUGACGAUGUAGCUGUAAUUGGUGUCUACCUUUGACCUUUUCAUCUGAGAGGGUACAGGUGAGAUGCUCAGGAUGCAGGUCCGUGCACACUAGAUGAUGCACACUAGAUGAUGCAUACUAGGCCACUUCAUAAAGUCUGCAACAGUGCACAAUCUUCAAUCCAACAACCGAGAUUACAAUCCCGGGUUAAACCCGAGUGUGUGCGGAUUUAAUCCGAGAUAAAUCCAGGUCAGGACAGACAGGACCGAAUGAUGAGGAUGAAGAAGAUGCAGCAGCUUCAUCAUGCCUGGUUCAUCUUUCCAUUUUUUCUCUCUCCGAAUCAUCAACACACCACAUCCCAAAUAUUCAUCCCAUUUUUAAGGCACGGCGCGCGCGUUUCUCCAUCUUUUUCCUUCCUCCAGAUUGUGCUUGAAUUCCAUCUUCUCUCUCUUUUUUUUUUUUUUUUUUUUUUUUUUUUUUUUUUGCUGCUCUGACAAAAUGGACGGCCUCUCUUGCUUUUUUUUCUUAUCUCUCGAGCUCAGUCCGUUUCCACUCCCUUUUAUUUUUCUCCCGCUCCAUUAUCACAUUCUUCCCAUAUGCAAGAAGACAAGAAAACCCUGCAGGAAUGAUAAAUCAGAGAGAAAACGCGUGCAUUCCGGUGAAAGUCUCUGCUUUUUUUUUUUUUCUUAACGCGGUGAUUGAAAUAAAACGCACCCAGAUCGACGGGAUCGGACUGCACACGCUGUAUGCUGGGUAGAGUGGCUCAAAAUCAGCACGCUCGCUCGCACUUGCAUGAUGAAAUCGGAUUGGAUGUCUGAGAACAGCCUGAAAGAAAUUCGUAAUGAAUUACAAUUUACAUGCUAAUAAAGCACUCUGUAUGCUGGGUAGACUAGGUCAAAAUUUUAAGGCUCGCUUAAUUUACAGACUGAAAUCUGAUCUGAUAUCCAAAAG
ensembl:lncRNA